rnacentral:rRNA from 1 species
GUGAUUAAUACCCCAUAGUAGCUCCCUCGCAUGAGGUAGCUUUAAAGGUUUACUCCGCCUAGGGAUUGGAAUAUGUUCUACUAGUUUGUUGGUGAGGUAAAGGCUCACCAAGACGAUGAUAGAUAGCUGGUCUUAGAGGAUGAACAGCCACAAUGGGAUUGAGAUACGGCCCAUAUUCUUACGGGAAGCAGCAGUAGGGAAUCUUCCACAAUGGACGAAAGUCUGAUGGAGCAAUGCCAUGUGAACGAUGAAGGCCUAUUUGGUCGUAAAGUUCUUUUAGAGGGGAAGACUUUGACGGUACCCUCUGAAUAAGUGACAGCAAACUAUGUGCCAGCAGCUGCGGUAAUACAUAGGUCGCGAGCGUUAUUCGGUUUUAUUGGGCGUAAAGCAAGCGCAGGCGGAUGAACAAGUUCUGUGUUAAAAGCAGCUGCUCAACAGUUGUUUGCACCGAAUACUGUUCGUCUAGAAUGUGGUAGGAAGUUUUGGAAUUAAAUAUGGAGCGGUGGAAUGUGUAGAUAUAUUUAAGAACACCAGAGGCGAAGGCGAAAACUUAGGCCAUCAUUGACGCUUAGGCUUGAAAGUGUGGGUAGCAAAUGGGAUUAGAUACCCCAGUAGUCCACACCGUAAACGAUGGGUAUUGGAUGUCGGGCUUUGUGGCUCGGUGUUGUAGCUUACGUGUUAAAUACCCCGCCUGGGUAGUAUAUAUGCAAAUAUGAAACUCAAAGGAAUUGACGGGGACCUGAACAAGUGGUGGAACAUGUUGCUUAAUUCGAUAAUACACGAAAAACCUUACCAGGGUUUGACAUCCCUUGCGAAACCGUGGAAACACGGCGGAGGUUAUCAAGGUGACAGGUGGUGCAUGGUUGUCGUCAGCUCGUGUCAUGAGAUGUUUGGUUAAGUCCCGCAACGAGCGCAACCCUACCCCUUAGUUGUUUGUCUAAGGAGACUGCACAGUAAUGUAGAGGAAGGAUGGGAUCACGUCAAAUCAUCAUGCCCCUUAUGCCCUGGGCUGCAAACGUGUUACAAUGGUAGAUACAAUAUGUCUGC